AACGCGAAGAACCUUACCUGGACUCGAAAUGCAGUCGACUGCCUCAGAGAUGAGGUUUUCCCGCAAGGGACGGCUGUAUAGGUGCUGCAUGGCUGUCGUCAGCUCGUGUCGUGAGAUGUUGGGUUAAGUCCCGCAACGAGCGCAACCCUCAUCCUUAGUUGCUCGCCCGAAAGGGAAGCACCCUAAGGAAACUGCCUCCGAUAAGGGGGAGGAAGGUGGGGAUGACGUCAAGUCCUCAUGGCCUUUAUGCCCAGGGCUACACACGUGCUACAAUGGCCGGUACAGACCGUUGCCAACCUGCGAAGGGGAGCCAAUCGGUAAAAACCGGUCUCAGUUCGGAUUGCAGUCUGCAACUCGACUGCAUGAAGCUGGAAUCGCUAGUAAUCGCGUAUCAGAACGACGCGGUGAAUACGUUCCCGGGCCUUGUA
rnacentral:rRNA from 1 species